rnacentral:misc_RNA from 1 species
UAACCACUCAAGCUUAGCUUGGUAUUGGGGUUCGCGUGCUCGCGACCCUUAAAAUCAGUGGCGGUGCCGUCUGGCUCUAAGCGUAGUAAUUCUCUCGCUAUAGAGUUCCGGCGGUUGCUUGCCAGAACCCCCCACUUUUAA